rnacentral:tRNA from 1 species
UAGCAUUUGGCUCAGUGGUAGAGUGUGUGCUUAGCAUGGACAAGGUCUUGGGUUCCAUCCAAAACACCAA